rnacentral:misc_RNA from 1 species
UUAACUAUUAUAUAGUACUCAGACGACACUAACAUUCAGGGUUGGGUUUCCUCUGGCGGGCCCGGGGGUGAGCCCGGAGCCCGCCAAAGCAACAAUGGUUGGAAUAACACAGGGUGGGAGAUCUACCCGUAAGGGCAUGAACUCUGUAAUGAUCCCUCCGCAGGUUCACCUACGGAGA